UGAAACAUCUAAGUACCCCGAGGAAAAGAAAUCAACCGAGAUUCCCCCAGUAGCGGCGAGCGAACGGGGAGGAGCCCAGAGCCUGAAUCAGCAUGUGUGUUAGUGGAAGCGUCUGGAAAGGCGCGCGAUACAGGGUGACAGCCCCGUACACAAAAGCGCAUGUGCUGUGAGCUCGAUGAGUAGGGCGGGACACGUGGUAUCCUGUCUGAAUAUGGGGGGACCAUCCUCCAAGGCUAAAUACUCCUGACUGACCGAUAGUGAACCAGUACCGUGAGGGAAAGGCGAAAAGAACCCCGGCGAGGGGAGUGAAAAAGAACCUGAAACCGUGUACGUACAAGCAGUGGGAGCACAGGUUUACCUGUGUGACUGCGUACCUUUUGUAUAAUGGGUCAGCGACUUAUAUUCUGUAGCAAGGUUAACCGAAUAGGGGAGCCGGAGGGAAACCGAGUCUUAAUUGGGCGUUAAGUUGCAGGGUAUAGACCCGAAACCCGGUGAUCUAGCCAUGGGCAGGUUGAAGGUUGGGUAACACUAACUGGAGGACCGAACCGACUAAUGUUGAAAAAUUAGCGGAUGACCUGUGGCUGGGGGUGAAAGGCCAAUCAAACCGGGAGAUAGCUGGUUCUCCCCGAAAGCUAUUUAGGUAGCGCCUCGUGAA
rnacentral:rRNA from 1 species